rnacentral:rRNA from 1 species
GGUUAAGCGACUAAGCGUACACGGUGGAUGCCCUGGCAGUCAGAGGCGAUGAAGGGCGUGCUAAUCUGCGAUAAGCGCCGGUAAGGUGAUAUGAACCGUUAUAACCGGCGAUACCCGAAUGGGGAAACCCAGUGUGACUCGUCACACUAUCAUUAACUGAAUCCAUAGGUUAAUGAGGCGAACCGGGGGAACUGAAACAUCUAAGUACCCCGAGGAAAAGAAAUCAACCGAGAUUCCCNCAGUAGCGGCGAGCGAACGGGGAGGAGCCCAGAGCCUGAAUCAGCAUGUGUGUUAGUGGAAGCGUCUGGAAAGGCGCGCGAUACAGGGUGACAGCCCCGUACACAAANNNNNNNNUGCUGUGAGCUCGAUGAGUAGGGCGGGACACGUGGUAUCCUGUCUGAAUAUGGGGGGACCAUCCUCCAAGGCUAAAUACUCCUGACUGACCGAUAGUGAACCAGUACCGUGAGGGAAAGGCGAAAAGAACCCCGGCGAGGGGAGUGAAAAAGAACCUGAAACCGUGUACGUACAAGCAGUGGGAGCACCCUUUGGGGUGUGACUGCGUACCUUUUGUAUAAUGGGUCAGCGACUUAUAUUCUGUAGCAAGGUUAACCGAAUAGGGGAGCCGGAGGGAAACCGAGUCUUAAUUGGGCGUUAAGUUGCAGGGUAUAGACCCGAAACCCGGUGAUCUAGCCAUGGGCAGGUUGAAGGUUGGGUAACACUAACUGGAGGACCGAACCGACUAAUGUUGAAAAAUUAGCGGAUGACCUGUGGCUGGGGGUGAAAGGCCAAUCAAACCGGGAGAUAGCUGGUUCUCCCCGAAAGCUAUUUAGGUAGCGCCUCGUGAAUUCAUCUCCGGGGGUAGAGCACUGUUUCGGCUAGGGGGCCAUCCCGGCUUACCAACCCGAUGCAAACUGCGAAUACCGGAGAAUGUUAUCACGGGAGACACACGGCGGGUGCUAACGUCCGUCGUGAAGAGGGAAACAACCCAGACCGCCAGCUAAGGUCCCAAAGUCAUGGUUAAGUGGGAAACGAUGUGGGAAGGCCCAGACAGCCAGGAUGUUGGCUUAGAAGCAGCCAUCAUUUAAAGAAAGCGUAAUAGCUCACUGGUCGAGUCGGCCUGCGCGGAAGAUGUAACGGGGCUAAACCAUGCACCGAAGCUGCGGCAGCGACACUGAUGUGUUGUUGGGUAGGGGAGCGUUCUGUAAGCCUGUGAAGGUGUGUCGUGAGGCAUGCUGGAGGUAUCAGAAGUGCGAAUGCUGACAUAAGUAACGAUAAAGCGGGUGAAAAGCCCGCUCGCCGGAAGACCAAGGGUUCCUGUCCAACGUUAAUCGGGGCAGGGUGAGUCGACCCCUAAGGCGAGGCCGAAAGGCGUAGUCGAUGGGAAACGGGUUAAUAUUCCCGUACUUGGUGUUACUGCGAAGGGGGGACGGAGAAGGCUAUGUUGGCCGGGCGACGGUUGUCCCGGUUUAAGCGUGUAGGUGUGUGUUCCAGGUAAAUCCGGUUCACUUUAACACUGAGGCGUGACGACGAGGCACUACGGUGCUGAAGCAACAAAUGCCCUGCUUCCAGGAAAAGCCUCUAAGCAUCAGGUAACACGAAAUCGUACCCCAAACCGACACAGGUGGUCAGGUAGAGAAUACCAAGGCGCUUGAGAGAACUCGGGUGAAGGAACUAGGCAAAAUGGUGCCGUAACUUCGGGAGAAGGCACGCUGAUAUGUAGGUGAAGUGAUUUNNNNNNGGAGCUGAAGUCAGUCGAAGAUACCAGCUGGCUGCAACUGUUUAUUAAAAACACAGCACUGUGCAAACACGAAAGUGGACGUAUACGGUGUGACGCCUGCCCGGUGCCGGAAGGUUAAUUGAUGGGGUCAGCGCAAGCGAAGCUCCUGAUCGAAGCCCCGGUAAACGGCGGCCGUAACUAUAACGGUCCUAAGGUAGCGAAAUUCCUUGUCGGGUAAGUUCCGACCUGCACGAAUGGCGUAAUGAUGGCCAGGCUGUCUCCACCCGAGACUCAGUGAAAUUGAACUCGCUGUGAAGAUGCAGUGUACCCGCGGCAAGACGGAAAGACCCCGUGAACCUUUACUAUAGCUUGACACUGAACAUUGAGCCUUGAUGUGUAGGAUAGGUGGGAGGCUUUGAAGUGUGGACGCCAGUCUGCAUGGAGCCGACCUUGAAAUACCACCCUUUAAUGUUUGAUGUUCUAACGUGGACCCGUAAUCCGGGUUGCGGACAGUGUCUGGUGGGUAGUUUGACUGGGGCGGUCUCCUCCUAAAGAGUAACGGAGGAGCACGAAGGUUGGCUAAUCCUGGUCGGACAUCAGGAGGUUAGUGCAAUGGCAUAAGCCAGCUUGACUGCGAGCGUGACGGCGCGAGCAGGUGCGAAAGCAGGUCAUAGUGAUCCGGUGGUUCUGAAUGGAAGGGCCAUCGCUCAACGGAUAAAAGGUACUCCGGGGAUAACAGGCUGAUACCGCCCAAGAGUUCAUAUCGACGGCGGUGUUUGGCACCUCGAUGUCGGCUCAUCACAUCCUGGGGCUGAAGUAGGUCCCAAGGGUAUGGCUGUUCGCCAUUUAAAGUGGUACGCGAGCUGGGUUUAGAACGUCGUGAGACAGUUCGGUCCCUAUCUGCCGUGGGCGCUGGAGAACUGAGGGGGGCUGCUCCUAGUACGAGAGGACCGGAGUGGACGCAUCACUGGUGUUCGGGUUGUCAUGCCAAUGGCACUGCCCGGUAGCUAAAUGCGGAAGAGAUAAGUGCUGAAAGCAUCUAAGCACGAAACUUGCCCCGAGAUGAGUUCUCCCUGAGACUUAAAGUCUCCUGAAGGAACGUUGAAGACGACGACGUUGAUAGGCCGGGUGUGUAAGCGCAGCGAUGCGUUGAGCUAACCGGUACUAAUGAACCGUGAGGCUUAACCUU